UACGGAGGGUGCAAGCGUUAUCCGGAUUCACUGGGGUUAAAGGGUGCGUAGGUGGGCAGGUAAGUCAGUGGUGAAAUCUCCGGGCUUAACCCGGAAACUGCCGUUGAUACUAUCUGUCUUGAAUAUCGUGGAGGUUAGCGGAAUAUGUCAUGUAGCGGUGAAAUGCUUAGAUAUGACAUAGAACACCCAUUGCGAAGGCAGCUAACUACACGAUCAUUGACACUGAGGCACGAAAGCGUGGGGAGCAAACAGG
rnacentral:rRNA from 1 species